GGCGAAGUGGUUAACGCACCGGAUUGUGGCUCCGGCAUUCGUGGGUUCGAUUCCCAUCA
rnacentral:tRNA from 1 species